UACGUAGGGUCCGAGCGUUGUCCGGAAUUACUGGGCGUAAAGAGCUCGUAGGUGGUUUGUCGCGUUGUUCGUGAAAACUCACAGCUCAACUGUGGGCGUGCGGGCGAUACGGGCAGACUGGAGUACUGCAGGGGAGACUGGAAUUCCUGGUGUAGCGGUGGAAUGCGCAGAUAUCAGGAGGAACACCGGUGGCGUAAGGCGGGUCUCUGGGCCGAUACUGACGCUGAGGAGCGAAAGCGUGGGGGAGCGAACAGG
rnacentral:rRNA from 1 species